rnacentral:tRNA from 1 species
GCCUGGGUGGCUUAGUCGGUUAAGCGCCUGACUUUGGCUCAGGUCAUGAUCUCAUGGUUCGUGGGUUCAAAACCCGCAUCGGGCU